rnacentral:rRNA from 1 species
CUACGGGAGGCUGCAGUGGGGAAUCUUAGACAAUGGGCGCAAGCCUGAUCUAGCCAUGCCGCGUGAGUGACGAAGGCCUUAGGGUCGUAAAGCUCUUUCGCUGGGGAAGAUAAUGACGGUACCCAGUAAAGAAACCCCGGCUAACUCCGUGCCAGCAGCCGCGGUAAUACGGAGGGGGUUAGCGUUGUUCGGAAUUACUGGGCGUAAAGCGCGCGUAGGCGGAUCAGAAAGUUGGGGGUGAAAUCCCGGGGCUCAACCCCGGAACUGCCUUCAAAACUCCUGGUCUUGAGUUCGAGAGAGGUGAGUGGAAUUCCGAGUGUAGAGGUGAAAUUCGUAGAUAUUCGGAGGAACACCAGUGGCGAAGGCGGCUCACUGGCUCGAUACUGACGCUGAGGUGCGAAAGCGUGGGGAGCAAACAGGAUUAGAUACCCCAGUAGUC